UACGUAGGGCGCGAGCGUUGUCCGGAUUUAUUGGGCGUAAAGAGCUCGUAGGCGGCUUGUCGCGUCAACUGUGAAAACCCGUGGCUCAACCAUGUGGUCUGCAGUCGAUACGGGCAGGCUAGAAUUCGGUAGGGGAGAAUGGAAUUCCCGGUGUAGCGGUGAAAUGCGCAGAUAUCGGGAGGAACACCGGUGGCGAAGGCGGUUCUCUGGGCCUUACCUGACGCUGAGGAGCGAAAGCGUGGGGAGCGAACAGG
rnacentral:rRNA from 1 species